GUAACAAGGGCACGCUCCCUGUGGGCGAAUUUACAGCUCGCUGCCUACUCGGCCAUAUUACCUG
rnacentral:tRNA from 1 species